GCCUCAUUUAAACUUGCCUAGAUAGGUAGUUAUCUUUUGCUUCACCCCUUGCCAUGCUAAACAACAUUUAAUAUUGUUUAGUACCUAACGAGAGAGAACUAAAUAAGUCAUGUGGUGUUUUCUUCAAUAUGCAACUCCAUUGCAUAUUGAGCUCCACUUAAUUUGUAGUGUUGUUUGUUGCACUUUGCCAUGCCAUGCCAUGUAUCUUUAAACUGAACAUGCAUCAUACUUGUUGUGCAUCAUGCCAUGAUUAUGUGGUGGUUGUUUACUAUGUUGUUUGCUUCUUUCCGGUGUGCUUCUUCGGGUUGGUUCCGUUAAUGCCGCGUUUGUGAGGAUUUGUUGGUCUAUGUCUGUUUGUCUUCUUCAUGGACUCGUUCUUCUUCCUUGCGGGAUCUCAGGCAAGAUGACCAUACCCUCGAAAUCACUUCUAUCUCUGCUUGCUAGUUGCUCACUCUAUUACUACGCCUAUGCUGCGAUACCUACCACUUGCUUAUCAUGCCUCCCAUAUUGUUAAACCAAGCCUCUAACCCACCUUAUCCUAGCAAACCGUUGUUUCGCUAUGUUACCGCUUUGCUCAGCCAUUCUUAUAGCGUUGUUAGUUGCAGGUGAAGAUUGUUGUUUGUUCCAUGUUGGAACAUGGAUAUUUUGUUGGGAUAUCACAAUAUCUCUUAUUUAAUUAAUGCAUCUAUAUACUUGGUAAAGGGUGGAAGACUCGGCCUUAUGCCUGGUGUUUUGUUCCACUCUUGCCGCCCUAGUUUCCGUCAUAUCGGUGUUAUGUUCCUGAAUUUUGCAUUCCUUACACGGUUGGGUCAUAAUGGGAACCCCUUGACAGUUCACCUUGAAUAAAACUCUUCCAGCAAUGCCCAACCUUGGUUUUACCAUUCGCCACCUAGCCUUUUCUUUCCCUUGGGUUCUGCAGACUCAAGGGUCAUCUUUAUUUAAACCCUCGGGCCAGUGCUCCUCUGAGUGUGGGUCCACCUCGUCAGCCGUCGGUGGCCACCAGGGGCAACUCUGGGCUGGCCUACCGGAAGUUUGGACAAUCUGAGUGUGCCCUGAGAACUAGAUAUGUGCAGCUCCUAUCGGGAUUUGUCGGCACAUUCGGGCGGUGUUGUUGGACUUGUUUUACCAUUGUCGAGGAUGUCUUGUAACCGGGAUGCCGAGUCUGAUCGGAUUGUCUUGGGAGAAGGAAUAUCCUUCGUUGAUCGUGAGAGCUUGUGAUGGGCUAAGUUGGGACACCCCUGCAGGGAUUGAACUUUCGAAAGCCGUGCCCGUGGUUAUGGGCAGAUGGGAAUUUGUUAAUGUCCGGUUGUAGAAAACCUGAAGCUUAACUUAAUUAAAAUGCAUCAACCGCGUGUGUAGCCGUGAUGGUCUCUUUCCGGCGGAGUCCGGGAAGCGAACACGGUGUUGGGGUUAUGCUUGACAUAAGUAGUCUUGGAUCACUUCUUGAUCAUAGAUUCUCGAACGUGCUUUGCCUUCUCUUCUCGCUCUCAUUUGCGUAUGUUAGCCACCAUAUAUGCUAGUCACUUGCUGCAGCUCCACCUCAUACCUUUUACCCUACCUAUAAGCUUAAAUAGUCUUGAUCGCAAAGGUGCGAGAUUGCUGAGUCCCCGUGACUCACAGUUUACUUCCAAAACCAGUUGCAGGUGCCGGUGAUACCGUAUAGGUGACGCAACCGAGCUCAAGGAGGAGCUCGAUGAAGAUCUUGUUCGUUGUGUUGGUUCGUUUCGAAUCGGUCAGUAGUGGAGCCCAGUUGGGGCGAUCGGGGAUCUGUAGCAUUAGGGGUGGUCUUCUUUUGUUUUGGUUCCGUAGUCGGACCUUGUUUGUAUCUGGAUGAUGUAAUGUUAUAUUCAUGUAUUGUGUGAAGUGGCGAUUGUAAGCCAACUCUAUACCUCUUUCUUAUUCAGUACAUGGGAUGUGUAAAGAUUACCCCUCUUGCGACAUGCCUACAAUGCGGUUAUGCCUCUAAGUCGUGCUCCGACACGUGGGAGAUAUUGCCGCAUCAUGGGUGUUACAUCAUGGUUGGUGUCGAGGUCUUGACCUUCACGUUCUUGUUGGUGAUGGUGUCGAUGCUGAUGUGACCUUGCCGGAGAUGGUAGCUUGGAAGGAUGUGCACUAGAGUGUCUUCUCGAAGAUGAGGAAGAUCUCUUGUAAGACUUCAUGAGGGCUUUGAUCUCCUCCAUUUAAGCAUCCAUCUUGGAGUCCAAGUUGUUGUUCAUGGUACCAAACUCGUCGUUGUUGUUGUAGACCGAAGGAGGUGUGCUUUGCCUAUCCAUCACAAGUCUCG
rnacentral:lncRNA from 1 species